rnacentral:lncRNA from 1 species
GUCACGUAAAGCCAGCGUCGGACAACUUUGGUGUCUUACUCUCUGUAUCUCGAAUUUAGUUUUUUCAGUUUUUGAGAUUUUUCAACAAUGCCCAUCUUUUUCUCCAUUGGUAUGUUCCUAGAUCUGCUGUUUACACACUUCAUAUUUAUUUGAGAUAUCUAUCUACUGAUCUUAUUGUAGUGUAAAUUUCAUAAACGAUCUUGUGUAUGUAAAUAGCUUGUGAAUAAGUGAAUGUUUGUUUAGGUUUUGAUAUUUCUUUUGAUUAAAAGAUUCGUUUGCUUGUAAUUUGUUGGCAGUUCAUAUUUUCGACUGAUCACUGGAAAUCUUUAUUUUUCUGACAAAAUCGGCUUUUUUGGACUGGUAAUUUUCUUUAUUUGAAGUGUAUUCAAUAUUACUGAAGCCCAUAAUUUAUUUCCAUGUGUUUGUUAAUUUUGUAUUGACAGGUCGAUUUCUGCAAGUGCUGAAGCCAAGGUGUAAUCUUCAUUCUAAAACUGAGUUUUGGGACUAGUGAAUUGAAGGAAUUAAAGGCUUGGUUUUGUUUAUACUUGUAAAAUGUUUAGAUAGAGCAAUUGGAUUGUGGGUUGACUUUGAAAAAAUAUGUAAGAAUUAGCGCUUUAUAUUAUCAGUAUAGGAUAGAUGAUUACAAUGAAAAUUAUGGGGAGUUCGUCUUUUCUGUUGGUG